rnacentral:rRNA from 1 species
GGUUCGGGAUGAGCUCGCGGCCUAUCAGCUUGUUGGUGAGGUAAUGGCUCACCAAGGCGACGACGGGUAGCCGGCCUGAGAGGGUGACCGGCCACACUGGGACUGAGACACGGCCCAGACUCCUACGGGAGGCAGCAGUGGGGAAUAUUGCACAAUGGGCGCAAGCCUGAUGCAGCAACGCCGCGUGAGGGAUGACGGCCUUCGGGUUGUAAACCUCUUUUAGCAGGGAAGAAGCGAAAGUGACGGUACCUGCAGAAAAAGCACCGGCUAACUACGUGCCAGCAGCCGCGGUAAUACGUAGGGUGCAAGCGUUGUCCGGAAUUAUUGGGCGUAAAGAGCUCGUAGGCGGUCUGUCGCGUCUGCUGUGAAAACUGGAGGCUCAACCUCCAGCCUGCAGUGGGUACGGGCAGACUAGAGUGCGGUAGGGGAGAAUGGAACUCCUGGUGUAGCGGUGGAAUGCGCAGAUAUCAGGAAGAACACCGAUGGCGAAGGCAGUUCUCUGGGCCGUAACUGACGCUGAGGAGCGAAAGCGUGGGGAGCGAACAGGAUUAGAUACCCUGGUAGUCCACGCCGUAAACGUUGGGCGCUAGAUGUGGGGACCAUUCCACGGUUUCCGUGUCGCAGC